GGAAGGCCUGCGCACUUGGGCCUUUGGCUGGGCCUCAGCAGCCGCUCAGGACGGCCCCCUCAGCCGGGCUGGGGGCCGCCGGGCUGUGGACUCCUGUGCGGGGCUGGUUUGGCAGGUGGUCUGCAAUCCCAGACAAAGGGAGGGACUCCGCAGGCCCUCUUCCAGCCCACAUGCCUCCAGAUCGCUCCAAUGAGGCGGCCGGGAGGAGGGGUAGCCUGUUCUGUAAGAAUUGUGGCCCAAAUUUCAAACAGAGAGCGUGACAGGCCCUCACCUCAGACUUCACGAAGAGCACGCGUGAUCUGGAAGAGGCACCCUCCGGCUAUGUCAUGUGUGAGCAGGCACGUGGCCCGGCCCCCUUCUCCGCCCCCUGGAGAGGACUUGUUACCUGAGGUGCAUCUAAGUGUAGUGAAUUGAACCAGCGGAACUGAACUUUCCAUGAAAACUUCUCGAGCUCCUGGAUGUCGUCAAACCAUGAAGCCACUGCCUGCGCCCCAGGGGACCGUCCCUGCCCAGCUCACAGCCCUCUCCCGGCGCUGCAGACCCUCGAAGUGCCUGAUGAGUGUUUCUCACCGCGAGUCCUCCCCGGCCAAGCCCAGGCUGCAGUCUGCACG